ACACAGUAAUGCCCAGGGUACGCGAUUCAUCAUGCCAGGAAAUAUUUCGUUGCAGCCAAAAGGUGUUAAUCAAACGAUACAGUCGACCAAUUUCGGACAACCUAUUCAGGUUAUUGCUGCUGGCAAACCAUUUCAACCUGGGCAAUGGACACCACAUCUUCAAUUAACCGGCAACAAUAUGCUAAAGGGUCAUCAAAAUGAUAACAAUGCCAUACUUCAAUUUUUCAACAAUGCAAGGAAUAAUGGAUGUAUUCCAACAUCAAAUAAUCAGACGUUGGUCAUUACUGGACCGCUGAUCACAAAUCAAGCUGGAAAUUACAAUCAGCAAGGUCAACAAGGAAAGCCCAUUGAAAUGAAUAAGGCACAGCAGCAGCAACAACAACAGCAACAACAACAGCAACAACAACAGCAGCAGCAGCAGCAACAACAGCAACCAUAUUACCAAGUUGUGAUUGCUGGGAUGCCUCCAAAGUCCCCAGUCAUGACAUCUGCUGUUGGAAAUAAGGGCAACAUGGCCAGUACAGGUGUUAACGUCAGUCAGGCAACCAAUAUGUUGGCACAACCUCAGAUUGUCACUUCUCAAGCGAAUUCUGCACCCAUGCAACUUGGUGGUUCCAUGCAACCAAUGCAGAUCAUAAGUCAAAUGCAGGGUAACCAAAUGGGCCAGUCUUUAGGAUUUCAACUACCUCCAAACUUUUAUCAGUUUGGAGGUCAGCAAGGCCCCAUCAUUAUCAGACAACAUUGGCAACCCGACGGAAUGUUUUUCCAGACGGCACCUCAGCCAACUAUCGCUGCGCAACCGGCACUUCAACCAGUGCCUCCCCUUACUGCUGCCAUUAAACCUAGAGCAGAGACUCCAUCAAAAGCAAGCGGAACCCGCCCAUUAUCAACGAUAUUGCCUUCAUCAUCGGGAGCAUCGACAGCACCAACACUGAUUCGGCCAGCCUCGUCCAUGUCCAAUCAAACAUUUGCAGGCGGAGUGGUCACAAAUGCUCAAACUGGCAACCCUAGACCUGCCGGUAAGACCAAGAAAGUUGGACGGCCUCCACAAAAUCAACAGCGACCAGUGGCACCGUCAGUCGUGCAAGGCCAGCAAGCUCUUUUACAGCCGGUACAGCAGCAACAACAGCAACAACAACAACAACAUCAACAGCCGCAUAUUCAGUUCCAACAGCAACAACAGAAUCAACAACUGCAUGCCGUAUCUCAGCAACUCAUUGCUCAACAUUUAAGAAAUUCUGUUGAUUGUUGCCUAUAUGUUAAACCAUGUUAAAGCAUCGAUCCAAUAGUUUCAGAUGCAGCAGCAUCUGUUCCAAAUUCAGCAGUAUCAACAGUAACAACAGCCGACACUAAUGUCACUUCCGGCUUUCCAGCAAGUGGCUCAGCAAACGCUGGAUACCAAUCAACAAGCCCAACUGCAGCAAGCUAUCGUUUUGGAUACCCAUCGUUGGCCUUCACAUCGGAGGGCGGAAAUAGGCGCGGCGAUCUUGGAUUCAGUGGUUGUGUUUUUUCUUUUUUUCAAAGUGAAUGCUGUGAGUGCGUGAGUGUGUGUGUGAGUGCAAAGUGAAAACACUGUGUGUUUCCGACAACAACAACAAUCUAAAGAAAUGGUGAAGAAGAACUCUGUUUUUUUUUCUGAUAAGGAGCGCAACUGAAUCCCGCACCACCCACUGUUUCUAAUGUGGAAGGUGUUCCUGGAGAAAAAAAAUCUACGGAAUGGGACAAGGACGAAAGUUCGACUACAACAGAGACGGAACCUGUCACAGCUUCUGACCUUUUGGAACCUGAGCCAAUUGCAGUGAGACAUUGCGGAGAGUCAUACGGUGCCUCUCCCACCUGAUACAGAACUGGGGAUGAAAAAGCUCGAACUUCAACCUACUAGCCUACCGUCAGCAAUUAAGAUUUCCAAAAAAGGUGCACACCUGUCUUGGGAGCCACCUCAGAGUACGGCUGGAGAGAUAACAGUCAACCUGGAAUAGCCUACAAGUUCUUAGUAGCUGGUGUCAACUCGUGUGGAAGAGACUUGUGUAGUGAAGUUUUCGCUUUCAAAACAUGUCUCCCUGGAUUCCCUGGUGCAAAAUUUUCUGUUACCGUCAAAUGGUGGAGGUAUUGAGGAAAUGUUAGAUCACGAAACGGUGACUCUCCCACCUGAUACAGAACUGGGGAUGAAAAAGCUCGAACUUCAACCUGGAAUAGCCUACAAGAUCCUAGUAGCUGGUGUCAACUCGUGUGGAAGAGGCUUAUGUAGUGAAGUUUUCGCUUUCAAAACAUGUCUCACUGGAUUCCCUGGUGCUCCGUCAGCAAUUAAGAUUUCCAAAAAAGGUGCACACCUGUCUUGGGAGCCACCUCAGAGUACGGCUGGAGAGAUAACAGAAUAUUCAGUCUAUUUGGGUGAUAAGGAACUUCAGCUUAGAAUCAAGUGCAAGUUUGCAUGACACUGGAGAUCUUGCCCCAACAUCAUGCUGUUGUUAAAGGUGGCAAUUAAAUGAAUUUGCAGCACAUCCGCACAGUCACUGGAACUACUAUUAUGUUU